AGAGUUUGAUCCUGGCUCAGGAUGAACGCUAGCUACAGGCUUAACACAUGCAAGUCGAGGGGAAACGAUAUUGGAAGCUUGCUUCCGAUAGGCGUCGACCGGCGCACGGGUGAGUAACGCGUAUCCAACCUGCCCACCACUUGGGGAUAACCUUGCGAAAGUAAGACUAAUACCCAAUGACGUCUCUAGAAGACAUCUGAAGGAGAUUAAAGAUUUAUCGGUGAUGGAUGGGGAUGCGUCUGAUUAGCUUGUUGGCGGGGUAACGGCCCACCAAGGCAACGAUCAGUAGGGGUUCUGAGAGGAAGGUCCCCCACAUUGGAACUGAGACACGGUCCAAACUCCUACGGGAGGCAGCAGUGAGGAAUAUUGGUCAAUGGGCGAGAGCCUGAACCAGCCAAGUAGCGUGCAGGAAGACGGCCCUAUGGGUUGUAAACUGCUUUUAUAAGGGAAUAAAGUUAGUCUCGUGAGACUUUUUGCAUGUACCUUAUGAAUAAGGACCGGCUAAUUCCGUGCCAGCAGCCGCGGUAAUACGGAAGGUCCGGGCGUUAUCCGGAUUUAUUGGGUUUAAAGGGAGCGUAGGCCGGAGAUUAAGCGUGUUGUGAAAUGUAGACGCUCAACGUCUGCACUGCAGCGCGAACUGGUUUCCUUGAGUACGCACAAAGUGGGCGGAAUUCGUGGUGUAGCGGUGAAAUGCUUAGAUAUCACGAAGAACUCCGAUUGCGAAGGCAGCUCACUGGAGCGCAACUGACGCUGAAGCUCGAAAGUGCGGGUAUCGAACAGGAUUAGAUACCCUGGUAGUCCGCACGGUAAACGAUGGAUGCCCGCUGUUGGUCUGAACAGGUCAGCGGCCAAGCGAAAGCAUUAAGCAUCCCACCUGGGGAGUACGCCGGCAACGGUGAAACUCAAAGGAAUUGACGGGGGCCCGCACAAGCGGAGGAACAUGUGGUUUAAUUCGAUGAUACGCGAGGAACCUUACCCGGGCUUGAAUUGCAGAGGAAGGAUUUGGAGACAAUGACGCCCUUCGGGGUCUCUGUGAAGGUGCUGCAUGGUUGUCGUCAGCUCGUGCCGUGAGGUGUCGGCUUAAGUGCCAUAACGAGCGCAACCCCUCUCCUUAGUUGCCAUCAGGUUAAGCUGGGCACUCUGGGGACACUGCCACCGUAAGGUGUGAGGAAGGUGGGGAUGACGUCAAAUCAGCACGGCCCUUACGUCCGGG
rnacentral:rRNA from 1 species